AACGAACGCUGGCGGCAUGCCUAACACAUGCAAGUCGAACGAGGCCUUCGGGUCUAGUGGCGCACGGGUGCGUAACGCGUGGGAACCUGCCCUUAGGUUCGGAAUAACUCCCCGAAAGGGGUGCUAAUACCGGAUAAUGUCUUCGGACCAAAGAUUUAUCGCCUUUGGAUGGGCCCGCGUUGGAUUAGCUAGUUGGCAGGGUAAAAGCCUACCAAGGCGACGAUCCAUAGCUGGUCUGAGAGGAUGAUCAGCCACACUGGGACUGAGACACGGCCCAGACUCCUACGGGAGGCAGCAGUGGGGAAUAUUGGACAAUGGGCGAAAGCCUGAUCCAGCAAUGCCGCGUGAGGGAUGAAGGCCUUAGGGUUGUAAAGCUCUUUUACCCGGGAUGAUAAUGACAGUACCGGGAGAAUAAGCUCCGGCUAACUCCGUG
rnacentral:rRNA from 1 species